rnacentral:tRNA from 1 species
UGGAGUGUGGCUCAGCAGCAGAGUGCUCGCCUGGCACGUGUGAGGCGCUGGGUUCGAUCCUCAGCACCACAU